CCUACGGUGGGCAGCAGUGAGGAAUAUUGGUCAAUGGCCGGAAGGCUGAACCAGCCAAGCAGCGUGAGGGAGGACUGCGCAGUGCGUCGCAGACCUCUUUUGCCGGGGGACAAAAGGCCGGACUCGUCCGGUCCUGAGGGUACCCGGAGAAAAAGCAUCGGCUAACUCCGUGCCAGCAGCCGCGGUAAUACGGAGGAUGCGAGCGUUAUCCGGAUUCAUUGGGUUUAAGGGGUGCGCAGGCGGGCCUUUAAGCCGGCGGUGAAAUCGCGGGGCUCAACCCCACCGAGCCGUUGGAACUGGGGGCCUUGAGUGCGGUGGAGGCAGGCGGAAUGCGCGGUGUAGCGGUGAAAUGCAUAGAUAUCGCGCAGAACCCCGAUUGCGAAGGCAGCGUGCCGUGCUGCAACUGACGCUGAGGUACGAAAGUGUGGGUAUCAAACAGGAUUAGAUACCCCUGUAGUC
rnacentral:rRNA from 1 species